AUGACAUCUCUGCAGCAGCAGCAGCAACACCAACUCGUUCAAGGGACAGGGGCUGCUUCUUCCUUCCCACCAACUCGUACUGGUUCCUCCGGGGUGCUUCUGAAUCGAUCUGCACAGCUGAUUUUUGCCUAUUGCUCUGUUUGCCUGCAGGGGAGGUACCGCUGGAGCUCUAAGGCGGCCUUAAACACCACCGAUCUGGUCGGAGGUUGGGCAGAUAAGGCCAUGCGUCUCCUGCUCCUUCCCAUGUACGUGUUCAUCCCAGUCUCUGACUCUUUGUCCAGACUUAACUACGUAGCGGCUACCUAG
rnacentral:rRNA from 1 species